AUGGACGCCUGAAAUGAAGUGUGACCCCAUCUCCAUCAGGAAGAGCGGAAGGGUCAUCAGCACCGAGAUCGUCACCGCGGAUU
rnacentral:sRNA from 1 species